rnacentral:rRNA from 1 species
UACGUAGGGCGCAAGCGUUGUCCGGAAUUAUUGGGCGUAAAGAGCUCGUAGGCGGCUUGUCACGUCGGAUGUGAAAGCCCGGGGCUUAACUCCGGGUCUGCAUUCGAUACGGGCUAGCUAGAGUGUGGUAGGGGAGAUCGGAAUUCCUGGUGUAGCGGUGAAAUGCGCAGAUAUCAGGAGGAACACCGGUGGCGAAGGCGGGUCUCUGGGCCGAUACUGACGCUGAGGAGCGAAAGCGUGGGGAGCGAACGGG